rnacentral:rRNA from 1 species
ACGUAGGUGGCGAGCGUUGUCCGGAAUCACUGGGCGUAAAGGGCGCGUAGGCGGCGCGGUAAGCGUGCGGUGAAAGCCCGGGGCUCAACCCCGGGUCGGCCGUGCGGACUGCCGGGCUCGAGCACUGUAGAGGCGGGUGGAAUUCCGGGUGUAGCGGUGGAAUGCGUAGAGAUCGGGAGGAACAUCUGUGGCGAAGGCGACUGCCUGGACCAGCACUGACACUGAGGCACGAAAGCGUGGGGAGCAAACAGGA